CACGUAGGGCGCGAGCGUUGUCCGGAAUUAUUGGGCGUAAAGAGCUCGUAGGCGGCCUGUUGCGUCCGCUGUGAAAGCCCGGGGCUUAACCCCGGGUCUGCAGUGGAUACGGGCAGGCUAGAGGUAGGUAGGGGAGAAUGGAAUUCCCGGUGUAGCGGUGAAAUGCGCAGAUAUCGGGAGGAACACCGGUGGCGAAGGCGGUUCUCUGGGCAUUAACUGACGCUGAGGAGCGAAAGCGUGGGGAGCGAACAGG
rnacentral:rRNA from 1 species